GCCAGAGGGUGCAAACGUUGCUCGGAAUUACUGGGCGUAAAGCGCGUGUAGGCGGCCUUGCAAGUCAGAUGUGAAAUCCCCGAGCUCAACUCGGGAACUGCAUUUGAAACUGCCUGUCUUGAGUAGUGGAGAGGAAAGCAGAAUUCCUGGUGUAGAGGUGAAAUUCGUAGAUAUCAAGCGGAACACCGGUGGCGAAGGCGGCCUUCUGGACAGUGACUGACGCUGAGACGCGAAAGCGUGGGGAGCAAACAGG
rnacentral:rRNA from 1 species